CGCUGGAGGCAGCGGUUCAUCGAUCAAUUCCUGGGAACUCUCUUUUUUUAAAUGUUUCGAUGGUUUUGGAAUAUAAUUUACAUCGAAAGCACGAAUCGAUCGAUAAACCUCUGCAUCCAGC
rfam:Capsella rubella cultivar Monte Gargano unplaced genomic scaffold scaffold_6, whole genome shotgun sequence.